GUCUGGUGCCAGCAGCCGCGGUAAUUCCAGCUCCAAUAGCGUAUAUUAAACUUGUUGCAGUUAAAAAGCUCGUAGUUGUAUUUUUGCGUUAGCGGUUUGACCAUUUGGUUGGUUAUUUCGUUUUCGCUUUUGGGAAUUUCCCUUUUUACUUUGAGAAAAUUAGAGUGUUUCAAGCAGACUUUUGUCUUGAAUACUUCAGCAUGGAAUAAUAGAGUAGGACUUUGGUUCUAUUUUGUUGGUUAUUGAACCUUAGUAAUGGUUAAUAGGAACGGUUGGGGGCAUUCGUAUUUAACUGUCAGAGGUGAAAUUCUUAGAUUUGUUAAAGACGAACUACUGCGAAAGCAUUUGCCAAGGACGUUUCCAUUAAUCAAGAACGAAAGUUAGGGGAUCGAAGACGAUCAGAUACCGUCGUAGUCCUAACCAUAAACUAA
rnacentral:rRNA from 1 species